ensembl:lncRNA
GUGAGGAGCGGGCUGGGACCCGGGGCCUGGAGCCGCCGCUGCCCGGCUCCUCCCGCGCCGCGCGGCGGGUGUCCGAGGCCGGGGUGCCCGGGUGGCUGCGCCCUGCUCCCGCGCUUCCGUAAACAGUCCAGAGGAGUCGGCAGAAGCGCGCGCGGCCCAGACGGCCGUUUCUGCCGGCCAGGGAGGGGGCGGUCUGCAGGCUCGGUGGGCAGCGCCCCCGCCCCACCGGCCGAUCCCCCACCCCGCUCCCUUCCCUGCCCGAGGAGCGGCGCACAGCUGCGGGGCGCGGGAGCGCAUGGCUGCACCCCCAAACGGGUCCUUCCAGCAGACGGAGUUCCUGUUUUCAUGCAAAUGCCUUUGUUCGCGCAUUGGGGACCGACAGGACGGAACCGCAGCUGACGCGGACUGCGGGCCGCUUUUCCACCGCCGCUUCUGUGGGGCCUUGAAAGACGAAUGCGCUGGGGACAAAAACGCCGGCGCCGCGGAAACCGGCGGGAGCGGCGCUCCGAUCGCGUCUCUGAGCCCGCCUGGGAGAGCGCCCUGCGCCGCGGGGCGGGGCUGGUCCCUGAAGGCCCUCGCUCCUGGCCACUCCACCCCUGCCUCAGUUUCCCCAUCUGCACAGGGAGGUGUUGUAUAUAAGAGCUCAGCGCAGUGCUAGGUCCUUGUUGGAAUUCGUUUAUCCAAGCACUGUGGGAGGCAGCGGGGAGCAGGGCAGGCAAGGAGACCGCUGUGGGAAGUUUGCAUUUGAGAGAGAGAAGGAAGACAAUAAACAGUAAGGAAAUAGACAAGAUAAUUUCAAAUAACAACAAGUGUUAAUAUAAUAGCAAGCAGAAAUAUACUGCUUGUGCCAGGCUCUGUUCUAAAUGCUAUAAAUAUGUGUGUUAGCUCCUCUAAUCUCACAACAAACCUACGAGAUAGAUAAAUUAUCACCCCCUUCACAAAAGGGAAAAUGGAGGUUGAAUCAUCAAUUCAAGGAAAAUGAGAAGUUGAAUAAUAUAUUCAGGGAAAUACAGGUUGAACAAUUUACUCAAGCGUCCAGUAGAUGGUGGAGACCAAAUUUGGACUCAAACAGUUGGCCUCUUUAUUUUUUUCUUUCAGAUUGGUCCUGAGCUAACAUCUGUUGCCAAUCUUCUUUUAUUUCUUCUUCUCCCCAAGGCCCCCCAGUACAUAGUUGUAUAUUCUAGUUGUAGGUCCUUCUGGCUCUACUGUGUGGGACACCACCUGCCUCAGCAUGGCCUGAUGAGCUGUGCAUAGCUUGAAACCCAGGAUUCGAAUGGGCGAAACACUGGGCCAAGGGGCCAGCCAGACAGUUGGCCUCUCAGUCACUCCAUUCUACCACUUUCGGCUGUGCUAGGAAGGAGGUAAAAUGGUGACAUUGUAAAGAGAGCAGUGGGGCUAGAGGACAGCUGUUUUCAAAAGGGUGUCAGGGAGCAUCUCUAUGUCACGGGGCCCUCUAAGCUGAGGCCCGAAUGAGGAGAGGAUCCAGCCAUGCAAAGAGCUGAGAGCUCCAGGCAGAGGGACAGUAGGGGCAAGGGCCCUGGGGUGAGGUGAAAGGAAUAGACUCUGUUUUUCAUAAACAUAAGGAAGGGCAAGGGGGCUGGAGCUGAGUGAGCAACAGCAGGCAGUGGGAAAGGAGAUGGCAGAUGGCCAGAGGCCGGUGGAACGGGCUUGGCAGGCGUUGGAAAGGAGCUGGGAUUUUAUUCCAGGUGUGAUGAGAAGUCAUGGUGCUGUAAUGGCCACAGAAGGUGUUGCGUGGGUGAACAGGUUGGACUAGAUGGCGGAGGCCCUUCCUGCUCUGCCAGGCGUGGGUUGGAGGAGGAAGUGGAUCACUCAGAUUGUACAAGGGAAAUAGCAUCGUCUGCGUUUUAUUGAUGAGGAAACUAAGGCUUGGAGAGAUUUCGUGACUGGCCCAAUUCAUCACGUUAGAAAGUAGCAGAGCUGAGCCUCCAGCCCUGAUACGUCUGACUCCAAAAUCCAUUGCAAUUGGCUCAGGAGAAGCUCACACCCAUCGCGAAUACGUCAAAUCUACUCUGACUGCCGGAGCGUGUCACUCGUUGGUCUAAAGCAUGUUUAUAUUACAUGAAAAAUGCCUUCUCUUCCUGGUUCUUCCUUUGUCCUCUCAGGCCCUUUAGGAGGUCACAGGGCAGGAGCUAAUGCUCCACUUAACAAUUAUGGGGAAACUGAGGCCGUGAGCAGUAGCCUGAGGCAUCAUCAAGGCUUAAACACACAGGGUUUCCUUUUCUUGGGUAAUACGAAAUCUGGAGCUGGCCAGACCAGGGCUGGUGUAGCUGUUGCACCAUACUCAGCAAACAGCUUCUGCUUUAUGGUCUGUCCGGGUUAUUUAUUGCUGCUUAACAAACUACCCCAAAACACCAUUUCAUUAUUUUCUACAGUUUUGUGGGUCAGAAAUUUGGGCAGGGCUCAGCUGGGUGAUCCUUCUGAUCCAUGGGCAUCAGCCAGUCACUUGGUCGUAUUCAGUUGAUGGUUGGGCUCGUCUGGAGGGUCAAGAUGGUUUUACCAGGAUUCCUGGGGCUUUGGUGGGGAAACCUGAAAUGCUGAGCUAGCUGGGUUCCUCCCCCUUUCCAUGUGGUCUCAGGGCCUCUCCAGGUGGUCUCUCCAGCAGAGUGGUUUGACAUUUUUCCAUGGCAGCUCAUGAAUCCAAGAGGCCACGGCAGAAGCUACCAGUGCUCUUAAGGGCUGGGCCUUGAAUUGGCAGAGUAUCAUUUCCGCUAUACUCUGUUGACCCGAGAAGUCACAGGCCAGCCCAAAUUCAGAUUCCCAAAUAGCCUCUUCCUCUCGAAGGAAGGACAGCCAAAGAAUCAGCAGCUAUCUUUAAUUCACCACACGGUCCAAGAUGGCUGCUUGAGAUCCAGUCAUCACAUCUCAAAUUCCCCCUGGCAAAGAAGAAGAGAGGAAUAAGAUGUAUACCCUCUCUUUUAAGACAUUUUCUAGAAGUCUCACAAAACAUUUCUCAUUGGCAAGAACUCACAUGGCCAUACUGAGGAUGUGGAAGGGAAGCUGGGAACCGUAAUCCUCAUUCCAGGCUGCCAUAUGCCGAACUGAAAAUUAUGGAUUCUAUUGACUAAGAAAGAAAGAGAGAGUGGAUAUUGAGGAACAGCUAGAAAUCUGUUCCACUGUUGAAUUUUUUGCUUCCAACAGCCAAACACAUUCCUAAUGGACAUUUCGUUUGCAAUCUUGCCCCUCCUAAUACAUCCUCCACACUGUCACCAAAAUAAUCUUUCCUUCUUAAUUAUUCUUUUAUGUUCCUAAAAGGUAAGUCUUUUCUUCAUUCCCAUGCCAACAGCAAGUGUCUGCAGUUUUUUGUGCGGAGGCCAUGGGAUUUGAAUGCCUGAAACAAUAAUAGCAUCCGCCACACACCAGGCACUGCGCCAAGCGCUAUACGGACAUGUCUUACUCAAGCCUCACAGUAACCCCAUGAGAUAGGAUCACGCAUGAGGAAACAGCAGCUCAGAGAAGUUAAGUGACUUACCCCAGGCCACACAGUGAGUAGGGGCAAGGUGGAGAUUCAAAUCCUUAUCUGUCAGAUUCCAGGCAUGUGCUGAGGCACCCACACAUGUGAAGCCCAGGGACCACUGACUGGUAACCACCCUGGAGCAUGGGCAAGGCUCCUGCUUGGAGUGGGAGUGUCAGCAGAGGCAAAUGAGAGCCCCGAGCCUGCAGACGCCCCUCGUCCCCGCGGUCCUCUGGCCAGGCAGCCCGCACCAAGCCCAG